AGGUGAGGCGUGUCAGGAGACAAGAGCCUGAACUACAAAUGUGCUGUGAAUAUUGCAGCCUCCACUGAGCCUGCAGGUGAUUGCUAUGGGAAUUACUAUGAUGAAAAUAAUUUAGGGUGAAAGGCAGAUGAAUUCUUAAGAACCAUUGGGAACUUGAGGCUCCCACACACGUCAGAAGUGGGUCAGAAGUGGACCCAUACCAGGUGAAGAUGUGCUGUGGUGGUGAUUACAGCUCUUGCUGCUCUUCUGUCU